GGCGAACGGGUGAGUAACACGUGGGCAAUCUGCCCUUCACUCUGGGACAAGCCCUGGAAACGGGGUCUAAUACCGGAUAUGAGUCCCUGCCGCAUGGUGGGGGCUGUAAAGCUCCGGCGGUGAAGGAUGAGCCCGCGGCCUAUCAGCUUGUUGGUGAGGUAAUGGCUCACCAAGGCGACGACGGGUAGCCGGCCUGAGAGGGCGACCGGCCACACUGGGACUGAGACACGGCCCAGACUCCUACGGGAGGCAGCAGUGGGGAAUAUUGCACAAUGGGCGCAAGCCUGAUGCAGCGACGCCGCGUGGGGGAUGACGGCCUUCGGGUUGUAAACCCCUUUCAGCAGGGAAGAAGCGCAAGUGACGGUACCUGCAGAAGAAGCGCCGGCUAACUACGUGCCAGCAGCCGCGGUAAUACGUAGGGCGCAAGCGUUGUCCGGAAUUAUUGGGCGUAAAGAGCUCGUAGGCGGCUUGUCGCGUCGGUUGUGAAAGCCCGGGGCUUAACCCCGGGUCUGCAGUCGAUACGGGCAGGCUAGAGUUCGGUAGGGGAGAUCGGAAUUCCUGGUGUAGCGGUGAAAUGCGCAGAUAUCAGGAGGAACACCGGUGGCGAAGGCGGAUCUCUGGGCCGAUACUGACGCUGAGGA
rnacentral:rRNA from 1 species